rnacentral:rRNA from 1 species
AAUACCGCGUAAGACCACAGCCUCACAUGGGGCAGGGGUCAAAGGAGCAAUCCGGAUAAAGAUGGGCUCGCGUCCGAUUAGCUAGUUGGUGAGAUAACAGCCCACCAAGGCGACGAUCGGUAGCCGACCUGAGAGGGUGAUCGGCCACAUUGGAACUGAGAGACGGUCCAGACUCCUACGGGAGGCAGCAGUGGGGAAUAUUGGGCAAUGGGCGAAAGCCUGACCCAGCAACGCCGCGUGAGGGAAGAAGGGUUUCGGCUCGUAAACCUCUGUCCUAUGGGACGAAGGAAGUGACGGUACCAUAGGAGGAAGCCCCGGCUAACUACGUGCCAGCAGCCGCGGUAAUACGUAGGGGGCGAGCGUUAUCCGGAAUGAUUGGGCGUAAAGGGCGCGUAGGCGGCCUGCUAAGUCUGAAGUGAAAGUCCUGCUUUCAAGGUGGGAAGUGCUUUGGAUACUGGUGGGCUGGAGUGCAGGAGAGGAAAGCGGAAUUACCGGUGUAGCGGUGAAAUGCGUAGAGAUCGGUAGGAACACCAGUGGCGAAGGCGGCUUUCUGGACUGAAACUGACGCUGAGGCGCGAAAGCGUGGGGAGCAAACAGGAUUAGAUACCCUGGUAGUCCACGCUGUAAACGAUGAAUACUAGGUGUGCGGGGACUGACCCCCUGCGUGCCGCAGUUAACACAAUAAGUAUUCCACCUGGGGAGUACGAUCGCAAGGUUGAAACUCAAAGGAAUUGACGGGGGCCCGCACAAGCGGUGGAUUAUGUGGUUUAAUUCGAAGCAACGCGAAGAACCUUACCAGGGCUUGACAUCCUACUAACGAAGUAGAGAUACAUUAGGUGCCCUUCGGGGAAAGUAGAGACAGGUGGUGCAUGGUUGUCGUCAGCUCGUGUCGUGAGAUGUUGGGUUAAG